GGUUAAGCGACUAAGCGUACACGGUGGAUGCCCUGGCAGUCAGAGGCGAUGAAGGACGUGCUAAUCUGCGAUAAGCGUCGGUAAGGUGAUAUGAACCGUUAUAACCGGCGAUUUCCGAAUGGGGAAACCCAGUGUGUUUCGACACACUAUCAUUAACUGAAUCCAUAGGUUAAUGAGGCGAACCGGGGGAACUGAAACAUCUAAGUACCCCGAGGAAAAGAAAUCAACCGAGAUUCCCCCAGUAGCGGCGAGCGAACGGGGAGCAGCCCAGAGCCUGAAUCAGUGUGUGUGUUAGUGGAAGCGUCUGGAAAGGCGUGCGAUACAGGGUGACAGCCCCGUACACAAAAAUGCACAUGCUGUGAGCUCGAUGAGUAGGGCGGGACACGUGGUAUCCUGUCUGAAUAUGGGGGGACCAUCCUCCAAGGCUAAAUACUCCUGACUGACCGAUAGUGAACCAGUACCGUGAGGGAAAGGCGAAAAGAACCCCGGCGAGGGGAGUGAAAAAGAACCUGAAACCGUGUACGUACAAGCAGUGGGAGCACGCUUAGGCGUGUGACUGCGUACCUUUUGUAUAAUGGGUCAGCGACUUAUAUUCUGUAGCAAGGUUAACCGAAUAGGGGAGCCGAAGGGAAACCGAGUCUUAACUGGGCGUUAAGUUGCAGGGUAUAGACCCGAAACCCGGUGAUCUAGCCAUGGGCAGGUUGAAGGUUGGGUAACACUAACUGGAGGACCGAACCGACUAAUGUUGAAAAAUUAGCGGAUGACUUGUGGCUGGGGGUGAAAGGCCAAUCAAACCGGGAGAUAGCUGGUUCUCCCCGAAAGCUAUUUAGGUAGCGCCUCGUGAAUUCAUCUCCGGGGGUAGAGCACUGUUUCGGCAAGGGGGUCAUCCCGACUUACCAACCCGAUGCAAACUGCGAAUACCGGAGAAUGUUAUCACGGGAGACACACGGCGGGUGCUAACGUCCGUCGUGAAGAGGGAAACAACCCAGACCGCCAGCUAAGGUCCCAAAGUCAUGGUUAAGUGGGAAACGAUGUGGGAAGGCCCAGACAGCCAGGAUGUUGGCUUAGAAGCAGCCAUCAUUUAAAGAAAGCGUAAUAGCUCACUGGUCGAGUCGGCCUGCGCGGAAGAUGUAACGGGGCUAAACCAUGCACCGAAGCUGCGGCAGCGACACUAUGUGUUGUUGGGUAGGGGAGCGUUCUGUAAGCCUGUGAAGGUGUGCUGUGAGGCAUGCUGGAGGUAUCAGAAGUGCGAAUGCUGACAUAAGUAACGAUAAAGCGGGUGAAAAGCCCGCUCGCCGGAAGACCAAGGGUUCCUGUCCAACGUUAAUCGGGGCAGGGUGAGUCGACCCCUAAGGCGAGGCCGAAAGGCGUAGUCGAUGGGAAACAGGUUAAUAUUCCUGUACUUGGUGUUACUGCGAAGGGGGGACGGAGAAGGCUAUGUUGGCCGGGCGACGGUUGUCCCGGUUUAAGCGUGUAGGCUGGUUUUCCAGGCAAAUCCGGAAAAUCAAGGCUGAGGCGUGAUGACGAGGCACUACGGUGCUGAAGCAACAAAUGCCCUGCUUCCAGGAAAAGCCUCUAAGCAUCAGGUAACAUCAAAUCGUACCCCAAACCGACACAGGUGGUCAGGUAGAGAAUACCAAGGCGCUUGAGAGAACUCGGGUGAAGGAACUAGGCAAAAUGGUGCCGUAACUUCGGGAGAAGGCACGCUGAUAUGUAGGUGAAGCGACUUGCUCGUGGAGCUGAAAUCAGUCGAAGAUACCAGCUGGCUGCAACUGUUUAUUAAAAACACAGCACUGUGCAAACACGAAAGUGGACGUAUACGGUGUGACGCCUGCCCGGUGCCGGAAGGUUAAUUGAUGGGGUUAGCCGCAAGGCGAAGCUCUUGAUCGAAGCCCCGGUAAACGGCGGCCGUAACUAUAACGGUCCUAAGGUAGCGAAAUUCCUUGUCGGGUAAGUUCCGACCUGCACGAAUGGCGUAAUGAUGGCCAGGCUGUCUCCACCCGAGACUCAGUGAAAUUGAACUCGCUGUGAAGAUGCAGUGUACCCGCGGCAAGACGGAAAGACCCCGUGAACCUUUACUAUAGCUUGACACUGAACAUUGAGCCUUGAUGUGUAGGAUAGGUGGGAGGCUUUGAAGUGUGGACGCCAGUCUGCAUGGAGCCGACCUUGAAAUACCACCCUUUAAUGUUUGAUGUUCUAACGUUGACCCGUAAUCCGGGUUGCGGACAGUGUCUGGUGGGUAGUUUGACUGGGGCGGUCUCCUCCUAAAGAGUAACGGAGGAGCACGAAGGUUGGCUAAUCCUGGUCGGACAUCAGGAGGUUAGUGCAAUGGCAUAAGCCAGCUUGACUGCGAGCGUGACGGCGCGAGCAGGUGCGAAAGCAGGUCAUAGUGAUCCGGUGGUUCUGAAUGGAAGGGCCAUCGCUCAACGGAUAAAAGGUACUCCGGGGAUAACAGGCUGAUACCGCCCAAGAGUUCAUAUCGACGGCGGUGUUUGGCACCUCGAUGUCGGCUCAUCACAUCCUGGGGCUGAAGUAGGUCCCAAGGGUAUGGCUGUUCGCCAUUUAAAGUGGUACGCGAGCUGGGUUUAGAACGUCGUGAGACAGUUCGGUCCCUAUCUGCCGUGGGCGCUGGAGAACUGAGGGGGGCUGCUCCUAGUACGAGAGGACCGGAGUGGACGCAUCACUGGUGUUCGGGUUGUCAUGCCAAUGGCACUGCCCGGUAGCUAAAUGCGGAAGAGAUAAGUGCUGAAAGCAUCUAAGCACGAAACUUGCCCCGAGAUGAGUUCUCCCUGACUCCUUGAGAGUCCUGAAGGAACGUUGAAGACGACGACGUUGAUAGGCCGGGUGUGUAAGCGCAGCGAUGCGUUGAGCUAACCGGUACUAAUGAACCGUGAGGCUUAACCUU
rfam:Escherichia coli str. K-12 substr. MG1655, complete genome.